rnacentral:rRNA from 1 species
UACGUAGGGGGCUAGCGUUGUCCGGAAUCAUUGGGCGUAAAGAGCGUGUAGGCGGCCCGGUAAGUCCGCUGUGAAAGUCGGGGGCUCAACCCUCGAAUGCCGGUGGAUACUGUCGGGCUAGAGUGCGGAAGAGGCGAGUGGAAUUCCUGGUGAUAGCGGUGAAAUGCGGCAGAUAUCAGGAGGAACACCGAUUGCGAAGGCAGCUCGCUGGGACGUAACUGACGCUGGAGACGCGAAAGCGUGGGGAGCAAACAGG